rnacentral:rRNA from 1 species
GAUGAACGCUGGCGGCGUGCUUAACACAUGCAAGUCGAACGGAAAGGCCCUGCUUUUGUGGGGUGCUCGAGUGGCGAACGGGUGAGUAACACGUGAGUAACAUGCCCUUGACUUUGGGAUAACUUCAGGAAACUGGGGCUAAUACCCGAUAGGAGCUCCUGCAGCAUGGGGGGGGUUGGAAAGUUUCGGCGGUUGGGGAUGGACUCGCGGCUUAUGAGCUUGUUGGUGGGGUAGUGGCUGACCCAGGCUUUGACGGGUAGCCGGCCUGAGAGGGUGACCGGCCACAUUGGGACUGGGAUACGGCCCAGCCUCCAACGGGAGGCAGCAGUGGGGAGUAUUGCACAGUAGGCUGGGGCCAGAUGCAGCGCCGCCGCGUGCGGGAUGACGGCCUUCGGGUUGUAAACCGAUUUCGCCUGUGCCGAAGAGUGAGUGACGGUAAUGGGUAAAGAAGCACCGGCUAACUACGUG